UACGGAGGGGGCGAGCGUUGUUCGGAAUCACUGGGCGUAAAGCGCGUGUAGGCGGUCUACUAAGUCUGAUGUGAAAGCCCGGGGCGCACCCUCGGAAGUGCAUUGGAAACUGGCAGACUGGAGUCCCGGCGAGGAGGGUGGAAUUCCUGGUGUCGCGGGGAAAUGCGGAGAUAUCAGGAGGAACACCGGUGGCGAAGGCGGCCCUCUGGACGGUGUCUGACGCUGAGACGCGAAAGCGUGGGGAGCAAACAGG
rnacentral:rRNA from 1 species